rnacentral:sRNA from 1 species
CGCUUCCUAGGCAAGCGCUCUACCACUGAGCUAAAUCCCCAACCCCAAGCCAGCGUUCUUAACAGCUGGAGCCACCUCAGCAGCCCCUUGUUUUACUACGUGAAACAACGGUCCAGGAUGGGUUGGAACUUACUGUGUAGCUGAAGAUGGCCUUGAGCUUCUCAUCCUCCUGCCUGCUGGGAUUACAAGAGGGUACCCGUUUUAUACAGUUUUGGGGAUCAGCCUUAGUAUGUGCUCUACCAACCCAGCUACAUCUUCACCACUCUCCUUUAUUAUUGUUGCUACUGUUAUGGUUGUUUAUUUAUUUAAGGAAACCUUUUCUGAGUUUUCCCAGGCUGGUCUUGAACUCCUCAUCCUCUUGCCUCCCAAGUGCUGAAUAGCCCUUGCUACCAGACCCGGCUUGUACAUUUAUUUCGUAAUGUUAUCCUUCUUAAUUUCUGUCUUGGGUUCUGUUGUUAGUGGUGGCUUUAGAUUUAGUCUCACUAUGUUCCCCAGAUCUUGCAAGGAACUGGCUGAAUAGCUCAGGAUUGCCUACAGAAAACAGAGGGACUUCACAGAUGACACAGUAGGGAGAAAAAUGACCAGCGCUAAUAUGACUUGGGUUCCUGGUUGCCUGGGAUGCCUGUGGCCCUGUUGCUUCAAAGCACCGGCCUCCUCAUCUGAAGACAGGCACUGAGGGAUCUCAGAUACCAACCGCACCAGAUCAGUCAUGGGGGCCUUGGUUCCAUCUCCGUCAUGGAAAUAACCAGGAGAAUGAAGCCAGGGCUUGCAAGGAGUAAGCUGAUCUUUGGGAGCCUCUCUUCCACUCUCUGGGACCUUCAGCCCCCCCAGGCUACCCCAAUAACCUGCCCUACCUACCUGUGGGUGUCCUGACACUUUCCCUCCUUCUAACUUCUAACAGGGGCUCCCGAGGCCCCUGCUGCUGUUCCCUGGCUGUUUAAAGUGUUACCUCUUCUAGAAAAGUGAGGAUUCCUGGGGGGGGGGGGGGGUGCGGGGGUAUUUCCAACCCUUUGUGCAGAGAAAGCAUUUGACUAAGUGCUGAAUCUGGUUGUGGAGAAGGCUUAGCCAGACCCUAGCCUUCUUGAAGGGAUUACCCAGAGCUAAGGCAGGACUUGUCUGCAGAUCCUCUGGGGCAAAAAGCUCUGAAAAGGUGUUGGGGGUGUUGGUUGAGUGGGGGAGAUUAAGUGAGCCUUGUGUGUGUGAAGAGAAAUUUAACGAUCCAGAGGAGGAGCAUAGUACUCAGAACUCACUCUGGGGGUAAUGCCAAGGUGGAAGUUUUAUGUUAUGUUUUGUUUUGCGGGCAGAAUCUUACUAUACAGCCACAGGCCGGCCUCAAACUGGUCAUCUUCCAGAUGCCUCCCAAGAGCUAGGCUUAUAGGUGUGCAUUACCACGUCCAGGUUAUCUCGAUCUAAAGUUUUAUUUUCAAUUCUGUGUGUGUGUGUGUGUGUCUGUGUGUGUGUAUGUGUGUGUAUGUGUAUGUGUUUAUGUGUGUGUGUGUAUGUGUGUGUGUAUGUGUGUGUGUGCAUUUGCACAUGCGUGUGGGUUCUGUGCUUAAGGAGGCUAGAGACUUGAAAAUCUCUGAGCUGGGCUUACAGACGGAUGUGGGCCACCUGUUGUGGGUGCUGGGAAUUAAACCGAGGUUGUCUGCAAGAGCGGCAAGUGUUCCUGGUGACUGACUCCUCCCUAGCCCCUAAUCUGGGUUAUUUGGGUUUGUUUGGGACUGGGUUUCAUGUAGCCCAGGCUAGGUUUGAACUUCCUAGGUAGCUAAGGAUGACCACCUGCUUUUACCUUCCAAGGUCUGGCUUUACAGGCGUGGCCACCAUAUCUAGUCUAUGUGGUUCUUAGGAUGUUACCCAGGGCUUCCUGCCUACCAGGUGAUGCUCUCUAUAAACUGAGCUACACCUCCAGCCUCGAUCCUGUAGUGCAUAUAAAUAUAUAAAUAUAUAUUAUAUAAUUUCCAGUGCUAGGCGACGUUAUAAAAACACUCUACAGGGGAUACCCAGGGGAGUCCCCACCUGUUCAGAGGAGAAGAGGAGGGAUGACCAGGAAGGGGAAA